rnacentral:rRNA from 1 species
UGGAGCGUGUGGUUUAAUUCGAUGCAACGCGAAGAACCUUACCAAGGCUUGACAUGCUUGAAGUAGAAACUCGAAAGAGGGACGAUCUGUAUCCAACCAGGAACUUGCACAGGUGCUGCAUGGCUGUCGUCAGCUCGUGCCGUGAGGUGUUAGGUUAAGUCCUGCAACGAGCGCAACCCUCAUUGCUAGUUAAACUCUCUAGCGAGACUGCCCGUAUAACGAGGAGGAAGGUGAGGAUGACGUCAAGUCAGCAUGGCCUUUAUAUCUUGGGCA